AAAGCUACCUUAGGGAUAACAGGCCAAUCCUUUUUGAGAGACCAUAUUGACAAAAGGGAUUAGCACCUCGAUGUUGGCUCAAGGUUACAGUUUGAUGCAGCAGUCAAGCAAAGCGGGUUUGUUCACCCUUUAAACCCUUACGUGAGCUGAGUUCAGACCGACGUAAGUCAGGUCAGUUUUUAUCUCUUUUAACCCUUCAAUUGUACGAAAGGACCUUGAUGGG
rnacentral:rRNA from 1 species